rnacentral:miRNA from 1 species
AAAAGACGAUAUUUUGAAGAAUGCUGAAUAACCAUUGACUUCCAAAGAAUUAGGUUUUCCUUUAUGGAAGUCAAUGGUUACCAGUUUUCAGCUUUCUUCAGAA